rnacentral:rRNA from 1 species
UACGGAGGGUGCGAGCGUUUGUCCGGAAUCACUGGGCGUAAAGGGCGCGUAGGUGGCGCGGGCAGUCAACGGUGAAAGUUCGGGGCUCAACCCUGAAUCGGCCGUCGAUACUCCCGGGCUUGAGCACUGUAGAGGCAGAUGGAAUUCCGGGUGUAGCGGUGGAAUGCGUAGAGAUCGGGAAGAAUACCCGUGGCGAAGGCGGCCAGCUGGGCCAGGUCCGACACUGAGGCGCGAAAGCUAGGGGAGCAAACAGG